rnacentral:piRNA from 1 species
UACAGUAGCAAAUAAACUCAAAUGAGGAUC